rnacentral:rRNA from 1 species
UACGUAGGGUGCGAGCGUUGUCCGGAAUUACUGGGCGUAAAGAGCUCGUAGGUGGUUUGUCGCGUUGUUCGUGAAAACUCACAGCUUAACUGUGGGCGUGCGGGCGAUACGGGCAGACUGGAGUUCGGCAGGGGAGACUGGAAUUCCUGGUGUAGCGGUGAAAUGCGCAGAUAUUGGGAAGAACACCUGAGGCGAAGGCGGGUUGCUGGGCCGACACUGACGCUGAGGCGCGAAAGCCAGGGGAGCAAACGGG